GAAUCGCGGAAACGGAUAUCUCGGCUCUCGCAUCGAUGAAAAAUGUAGCAAAAUGCGAUACUUGGUGCAGAAUCAUGUGAACCACUAAGUGUUUGAUCGCAAGUUGUGCCCGAAACCAUCAGUCUGAGGGUACGUCUGCCUAGGUGUCA
rnacentral:rRNA from 2 species